GAACCUAAGCAAAAACAUAGGAGGGGAAAUCCGCAGGUUUCUUCAACACAGAUGGAAAUGGAAACAUGCAAGUUGGAACUUCCUGCUCAGAACAAUCUUUCAAAAUUUGAAAGGACAUCAACAAUGUCAACUGGAGAGGCUAGUAGCAGCUGUGGCAUGCUCACGAGAGCAAACAUGAAGGUAAUCUGCUGUUUCUAACUUCUAUACAUUUUUGUUUUGAAUUAAACAAUAGUAAAGUGUAUCCCUGCAUUAGCACUUUUUCAAAAUGGUGAAUUUACAUAUCCGUAUCGGCCUGAUACUGAUACGUGUAUCAAUCAGUGCUUUGUUACUCCCAGCACAACAAUUAUAUUACAUACUGCUAGGACAAUGUAAUUUGAUUCCAAUACAAAUAUUCUCCAUGGGCAAGAUAACUUGUUCCUCACACAACUCUGACCUGGUUCCAUGAGAACAUGGGAAGCCACAUGAAUACUCCCAGGAUAACAGGGCAUGCCACAAACUAAUACAAACAUACAACAACAACAACAACAAUAGCAACAGCAACAACAACAACAACUAAUAAAUCAUAAAUUUAUAUUUAGCUCAUUAAUUUUAAGAGAUGCACCAGUUUCUGCACCUCACAAGCAACACUUUUAGCAUGCCAAAAUUUAACUGGAACUAUCAUUUAUAGUCUAACAAAGGUAGAGAGAUGCACAUGUUAAUGUAAAUAGCAUUCUUUACCAAACACCAUAGAGCAAGGAAGAUGCGCCAUUGACUACUAAAAGCCAACGAAUUAUAUUGUUAUGCACCAUGCAUGUACCCCUGCUUCCUGGAGCAGACGGAGGUCUCGUGGGGGCAAAGUUCCUUGAUCAAGAUUAUAGGUGAGGAAGCCUUGUCCUGUAGAGUGAGAAGAUGCCAACGACAACCAUCAUUUGAGCAAGAAUUUAAUCUGGAACAGAAUGUUGAGGGACAAGAACAUUGACAGCAAGUGUUCGACAAAACUUACCUUCUUGACUUAAGAGAUCGAUCGAG